AAUCUGACCUCAAAUCAGGUAGGACUACCCGCUGAACUUAAGCAUAUCAAUAAGCGGAGGAAAAGAAACUAACAAGGAUUCCCCUAGUAACUGCGAGUGAAGCGGGAAAAGCUCAAAUUUGAAAUCUGGCGGCUCUGCCGUCCGAGUUGUAUUCUGGAGAAGCGUUUUCCGCGCCGGACCGUGUACAAGUGCCUUGGAACAGGACGUCAUAGAGGGUGAGAAUCCCGUCUUUGACACGGACCCCCGGUGCUCUGUGAUGCGCUCUCGAAGAGUCGAGUUGUUUGGGAAUGCAGCUCAAAAUGGGUGGUAAAUUCCAUCUAAAGCUAAAUAUUGGCGAGAGACCGAUAGCGAACAAGUACCGUGAGGGAAAGAUGAAAAGCACUUUGGAAAGAGAGUAAAACAGUACGUGAAAUUGUUGAAAGGGAAACGCUUGAAGUCAGUCGCGUCUGCCGGAACUCAGCCUUGCUUCUGCUUGGUGCACUUUCCGGCCGGACGGGCCAGCAUCGGUUUCGAGCGACGGACACUGGCGAGGGGAAGGUGGCAGCUCCGGCUGUGUUAUAGCCCCCCGUCGCGAACGUUGCCUGGGACCGAGGAAUCCGGCGCAAGCCUGGGAUGCUGGCGUAAUGGCUUUAAACGACCCGUCUUGAAACACGGACCAAGGAGUGCUACGUGCUCGCGAGUGU
rnacentral:rRNA from 1 species